AAUAUACUUUUACAUUGUUGAGUUAGGAAGGGCAUGUUUCCUUUAACCAUAAAUCAUUCUUGGAGACCCGUUGGACAGAUGAAGCUCGAGUUCGCUUCRCCUCGGUAUCACAUUCCCUCAGUGCCAUCUUGCGCACUGCCAUUGCUCUUGAUUUAUGGUUGUCGCAAGGAAAGCGAUCUUAUUCUAACACACGCUACUUUUAUCACAGUAAAAGACCACAGAAAUGRUCWAWGAAAAGCGUCAUGUGUUGUUUUCAAAAAGAUUUAUCUCAGGAUACAAGAAUCUCUGACGAAGUAGCGCUCUUGAAAUAUGGCUGUCCCGAGAAGAAAUGUAGCUGCCUGUUCCGCAGUUCCAGUCAGUUGUCCCGCAACAUGAGAUGAAGUUUGUUGCGAACUAAAACCUGGAUUAUUUGAAGGGCAUAAAGUUGGGAGUUUGGCGGUUGAAUAGAACUGUUUUAUUUAUUCACGAGUCCAUUCAGGGCUUGUUUUGCAAAUGUACCUUGCACCAAAUGUCUUCUUUGAACCGCCUGUCACAGCAAGGAGGUUUCUUUACGUAAAAGCAUUUUUUGGAAGCGCUUGGCUGACAAAGAUAGUCGAUGCCAUCUGUGAGGUGUGGCGCGGAAGUCUAAACCGACCAGCCUAUUGAAGACAUCUAGGUAGUAAUUAUUAUUGUUAUAGCCUAGCCUUUAUUGUAAAUAACAGACUGGUAUCUUCAAUACUGAAAAUCUAAAAAGAACCCUAUGAAAUACGCAUCAUGAGACUAGUACAACUGGAUAGUUGCAAAACGCAUUAUAUUCGUUAUAUAUCUAUUGGACUAUUUACAUCUUUAGAUGCUAGAUUUUCUUGCAUUUCACAAUGACUGCAUGCCGAGUCUAAACAGUAAGCAAUUGCUAGUGUUGUAUACGAGAUAUCAGAAAUUAUUCGCAGUAUAUGCAAAAACUUGGAAAUUAUUAAMAUUACGAAMARAAAGUCACAAAAAGAAUGGUAAUGUGCAAGUUUUAUGUACAAAUUCCGAUUAUAACACUGUAAUUGGUUCGUGUUGUCAAUACACGCGGCGUAUAAUUGA